rnacentral:rRNA from 1 species
UACAGAGGGUGCAAGCGUUGUUCGGAAUUAUUGGGCGUAAAGCGCGUGUAGGCGGCAUGGCAAGUCGAGUGUGAAAGCCCCCGGCUCAACUGGGGAGGGUCAUUCGAUACUGAUCGACUCGAAGGCAGGAGAGGGUAGUGGAAUUCCCGGUGUAGUGGUGAAAUGCGUAGAUAUCGGGAGGAACACCAGUGGCGAAGGCGACUACCUGGCCUGUUCUUGACGCUGAGGCGCGAAAGCUAGGGGAGCAAACGGG